rnacentral:ncRNA from 1 species
GCACGCCUGUCGGGACCCGAAAGAUGGUGAACUAUGCCUGAGCGGGGCGAAGCCAGAGGAAACUCUGGUGGAGGCUCGAAGCGAUACUGACGUGCAAAUCGGUCGUCUGACUUGGGUAUAGGGGCGAAAGACUAAUCGAACCAUCUAGUAGCUGGUUCCCUCCGAAGUUUCCCUCAGGAUAGCUGGAGCCCAUUACGAGUUCUAUCAGGUAAAGCCAAUGAUUAGAGGCAUUGGGGACGC